GAAGCCUUCGGGCUUAGUGGCGCACGGGUGCGUAACGCGUGGGAAUCUGCCUUCAGGUACGGAAUAACUCAUGGAAACGUGUGCUAAUACCGUAUGACGUCGAAAGACCAAAGAUUUAUCGCCUGAAGAUGAGCCCGCGUAGGAUUAGCUAGUUGGUGGGGUAAAGGCCUACCAAGGCGACGAUCCUUAGCUGGUCUGAGAGGAUGAUCAGCCACACUGGGACUGAGACACGGCCCAGACUCCUACGGGAGGCAGCAGUGGGGAAUAUUGGACAAUGGGCGAAAGCCUGAUCCAGCAAUGCCGCGUGAGUGAAGAAGGCCUUCGGGUUGUAAAGCUCUUUUACCCGGGAUGAUAAUGACCGUACCGGGAGAAUAAGCCCCGGCUAACUCCGUGCCAGCAGCCGCGGUAAUACGGAGGGGGCUAGCGUUGUUCGGAAUCACUGGGCGUAAAGCGUGCGUAGGCGGCUAUUCAAGUCAGAGGUGAAAGCCUGGGGCUCAACCCCAGAACUGCCUUUGAAACUAGGUAGCUUGAACACGGGAGAGGUGAGUGGAAUUCCGAGUGUAGAGGUGAAAUUCGUAGAUAUUCGGAAGAACACCAGUGGCGAAGGCGGCUCACUGGACCGUUGUUGACGCUGAGGCACG
rnacentral:rRNA from 1 species